GAUGAAGAACGUCAGCGAAAUGCGAUACGUAAUGUGAAUUGCAGAAUUCAGUGAAUCAUCGAAUCUUUGAACGCAUAUUGCGCUCUCUGGUAUUCCGGAGAGCAUGCUUGUUUGAGUAUCAGUAAACACCUCAACUUCCAUAUCUUUUUUGAAAUGGGAGUUGGACUUGAGUGAUCCCAACGCUUUUCCUCACCGAAAAGUGGCGGGUUACUUGAAAUGCAGGUGCAGCUGGACUUUUCUCUGAGCUAUAAGUAUAUCUAUUUAGUCUGCCUAAAAAACAGAUUAUUACCUUUGCUGCAGCUAACAUAAAGGAGAUUAGUUCUUGUGCUGACUGAUGCAGGAUUCACAAAGACAGGCUUCGGCCGACUUUGUAAACUCGAUCUCAAAUCAAGUAAGACUACCCGCUGAACUUAAGCAUAUCAAUAAGCGGAGGA
rnacentral:misc_RNA from 1 species